UACGUAGGGAGCGAGCGUUGUCCGGAUUCAUUGGGCGUAAAGAGCUCGUAGGCGGCUUGAUAAGUCGGAUGUGAAACCUCCAGGCUCAACCUGGAGUCGCCAUCCGAUACUGUCAUGGCUAGAGUCCGGUAGGGGCCCACGGAAUUCCUGGUGUAGCGGUGAAAUGCGCAGAUAUCAGGAGGAACACCGGUGGCGAAAGCGGCGCACUGGACCAUAACUGACGCUGAUGCGCGAAAGCUAGGGGAGCAAACAGG
rnacentral:rRNA from 1 species